AUGCUGUCAGCUUCUGUGAGUUCAUUUGUAAUGCUGAUGUGCAAAACUGCUGACAAAACUACUUUCAAUAAAAAAGGUAAAGUAAAAUGUUGUUGUAAAACAGACAGAAACUUCCAUUACACAAUAUUACAUGACACUGAGCUGUCCUCUUUUGUUUAUCUCUUGCACACUAGGCUUCACUUCCACAUGGGUGCAGGAAGUGCAGGCAAUCUCAGCAUGAUCCUGCAGAAGGGUGAGGAGGAUAGGAAGCUGCUUUGGUCACGAUCCAUCAGCACUUCAACUCAGUGGGUCCCAGAACACUUACCACUGGGCAAACAAGACCAGCCUUACAGGUUACAUUACAGCUGGCUUUUAAUUCAUCAAGAGCUCCAGUCACAGCACAACGAGGGAUACGGCUCUCCUCUGUCUCCCCCAACUGGACCUGAUGGGUAUUGCUUCACAUUCUGGUAUCACAUGCUCGGAGCAACAGUGGGGAUCAUUAAGAAUGUGUAUACAUGACAUUUCAUCCGAUCUCAUCACAUCAAUGUGGCAAAGGAAGGGUUCUCAGGGAACUGAAUGACAGGUGGCUCAGAUUCAUGUGCAACUGACAGAAAUUCAUCAGAUAUUAAUUGAGGCUUCAGUUGGAGGGCUGUCUGGUCACAUUGCUGUAGAUGAUUUAUCUGUCACUAAAGGUGCCUGUACUACCAACCACAGGUAAUUAAUAACAUAGCUUAUUAAUUUGGUCUGUUGUUUUUCACAGUGUCCUGUUGAAAUGUCCUCCAUGCUUGCUAGAGCACCACAAGCAUUUGACACAGCUGUAACAUAAUGUUGUAUUUAUCCAUCUAUAUGCUGUCUUCAAUACCAAACUUUAUCUGUCAGCUUAGUGACAAAUUUAGGGCAUUUAAUUCAUGUCAAAAGCAACUUGAUUAAAUAUACCAUGCAAAAAUGUGAGCCUGGAGAGGG
ensembl:lncRNA